rnacentral:rRNA from 1 species
CACGUAGGCACCAAGCGUUGUCCGGAUUUAUUGGGCGUAAAGAGCUCGUAGGCGGUUCAGUAAGUCGGGUGUGAAAACUCUGGCUCAACCCAGAGACGCCACCCGAUACUGCUGUGACUUGAGUACGGUAGGGGAGUGGGGAAUUCCUGGUGUAGCGGUGAAAUGCGCAGUAUAUCAGGAGGAACACCAGUGGCGAAGGCGCCACUCUGGGCCGUAACUGACGUGAGACGCGAAAGCGUGGGGAGCAAACAGG